rnacentral:rRNA from 1 species
UACGGAGGAUUCAAGCGUUAUCCGGAUUUAUUGGGUUUAAAGGGUGCGUAGGCGGUUUGAUAAGUUAGAGGUGAAAUACCGGUGCUCAACACCGGAACUGCCUCUAAUACUGUUGAACUAGAGAGUAGUUGCGGUAGGCGGAAUGUAUGGUGUAGCGGUGAAAUGCUUAGAGAUCAUACAGAACACCGAUUGCGAAGGCAGCUUACCAAGCUACUUCUGACGUUGAGGCACGAGAGCAUGGGUAGCGAACAGG